AAUUAUAAAUUUACUUAAAUUUUUAUGGAAUAAAAUUUUUUUAGAAAUAACUUUAUUUGUAGUAGAUUGUAUUAAAAUAAUAAUGUUUGUGUUAGUGGAUAGUACCGUCAGGGUUGGUUUUAUUUGAAUAAAAGGAAUUUUAAUUUAUUGUACCUUUUGUAUCAGGGAUGAUUAAUAUUAUGUUAUGUAUAGAAUUUUCCCGAAAUUAGGGGAGAUAUUGUUAUAUGUUAGUUUAUGUUUCAUAAUGAUUAAUUAUAUAAUAAUAGUAGUGAAAAGUUAUUCGUCCUUAAAUAUCUGGUUUUCUAAGACUUGAAUUGAAUUCAUAAUUAUGAAUAUUAAUAAUUAAUUUUUAUUGGUUGUUAAUUUAUAAUUAAAUAUUUUUGGGGAUAAGCUCGAGUUUAGUUUUAAAAUUGUAAAAUGUAAAUAGUUCAGGUAGGCUCGAAAUCAGCCAUCAUUAAUUUCGUUAUAGAUUAUUCUUAUAAUAGUAUAAUUUUAUAAAAUUUAAUUGUAUAUUAGGAAGUUUUGUCUAAUUAAAUAUUUUUUGUAAAAAUGAUUGUAUUAGUAUAUUUAUAAGUUAAAAUACAGUAACUCGGCAAAUAUUGUGUUCGCCUGUUUAACAAAAACAUGUCCUUUUGUGUUUUAUAUAAGGUCUAGCCUGCCCAAUGAAUUUUUUAAUGGCCGCAGUAUAUUAACUGUGCUAAGGUAGCAUAAUCACUUGUUCUUUAAUUAAGGGCUUGUAUGAAGGGUUGGACGAGACACAUUCUUUCUUUAUUUUAAAAAUAGAAUUUAUCUUUUUGGUUAAAAGACCAAAAUUUAACUGUGGGACGAGAAGACCCUAUAGAUCUUUAUAAUUUUUAUAAUUAGGGUUUUUGGUUAGUUUAAUUUUAAUUUUAAAGUUUUAUUUAAUUGGGGCGAUUGCAGAAAAUUAAUAACUUCUGUUUUAUUUAUUCAUUAAUGGGUGUAAAUUUGAUCUGUUUAUAGUGAUUAUAAGAUUAAGUUACCUUAGGGAUAACAGCGUAAUUUUCUCGGAGAGUUCCUAUCGAUGAGGGAGUUUGCGACCUCGAUGUUGGAUUAAAAUAAGUGUUAGGUGUAGCAGUUUAAUAACUAGGUCUGUUCGACCUUUAAUUUUUUACAUGAUCUGAGUUCAGACCGGCGUGAGCCAGGUCAGUUUCUAUCUUCAGUUUAAUAUUAUAUCUUAGUACGAAAGGACCAGAUAUGAGGAAUAUUUUUAUAUAAAUGAUUAAAAUU
rnacentral:rRNA from 1 species